rnacentral:lncRNA from 12 species
UUGGGGGAGUUUGGGACCCCCUGGGAUGGACCCGUCAACCCUCUGGGUGUCCAAUGAGGGAUUUGGGGACAUUUGGGGACAACUGGGGACAUUUGGGGACAUUCUGGAGAGUCUGGGGUUUGGGGGUUUUGGGGAGAUCUUGGGGGUUUUGGGUGAAUUUGGGAGAAUUUUGGGGACAUCUGGGGACAUCGGGAGGGCCCUGGGCUCUCACCAAGGAGGGGUUUGGGGACCAAAACUUGUCCCCAACCCUCCCCCCGAAAUUUGUCCCCGAAAUUUGUCCCCAAAAUUUUGUCAGGGCUGAACCGCAGCAGCUCCUUCUCGUGCGAGGCGCACAACGAGCGCGGGGUCAGCACGUCCCGGAGCGCCACCGUCACCGUUCUGGGCCCGGCCCCCAAAAAUCUGGGGCUGGUCCGGGCGGGGCCGAGGUGGCUGGAGGUGGCCUGGGAGCCCGGGGACGGCGCUGGGGACACUGGAGAUGGCACUGGGGACACUGGGGACAGCGGGGACAGCGGGGACAGAGCGCCCCAGGAGUGCACGGUGCAGGUGCUCCCGGCCGAUGUCGCCGCCCAUGUCGCCGAUAUCGCCGAUGACGUCGCCGCUGUCGCCGAUGGCGCCCCCCCCCCCCCCCCCCCCCCCCCCCCCCCCCCCCCCCCCCCCCCCCCCCCCCCCCCCCCCCCCCCCCCCCCC